rnacentral:rRNA from 1 species
CAUAGUUAUUUCGAAUCGCAUUGGUUUGAUUAUUAAAGUCCAACGGUAAAAGAUGAGUAUGCGUCCCAUUAGCUAGAUGGUAAGGUAACGGCUUACCAUGGCAAUGAUGGGUAGGGGUCCUGAGAGGGAGAUCCCCCCACACUGGUACUGAGACACGGACCAGACUCCUACGGGAGGCAGCAGUGAGGAAUAUUGGACAAUGGGCGCAAGCCUGAUCCAGCCAUGCCGCGUGCAGGAAGACGGUCCUAUGGAUUGUAAACUGCUUUUAUACAGGAAGAAACACUCCCUCGUGAGGGAACUUGACGGUACUGUAUGAAUAAGCAUCGGCUAACUCCGUG